rnacentral:rRNA from 1 species
GCAGAGGCCUCAAGCGUAGGCGGAAUCACUGGGCUUAAAGCGUGUGUAGGCGGAUCGUUAAGUGCCUUGUGAAAUCCCACGGCUUAACUGUGGAACGGCUGGGCAUACUGGCGGUCUUGAGCCAUCUAGGGGGCGCUGGAAACAAACGUGGAGCGGGUGAAAUGCGUAGAUAUCGUUUGGAACGCAAUGGUGAAAAACAGGGUUCGCUGGGGGGAUGAGCUGGACGCUGGAGA